UACGGGGGGGGCAAGCGUUGUUCGGAAUUACUGGGCGUAAAGGGCUCGUAGGCGGCCAAGUAAGUCGGACGUGAAAUCCCCAGGCUCAACCUGGGAACUGCGUCCGAUACUGGAUGGCUUGAAUUCGGGAGAGGGAUGCAGAAUUCCAGGUGUAGCGGUGAAAUGCGUAGAUAUCUGGAGGAAUACCGGUGGCGAAGGCGGCAUCCUGGACCGACAUUGACGCUGAUGAGCGAAAGCUAGGGGAGCAAACGGG
rnacentral:rRNA from 1 species